UUCAACUCUCAGGAUCCUCAACACAAACC
rnacentral:piRNA from 1 species